rnacentral:rRNA from 1 species
AAACCAGCACCUCAAGUGGUCAUGAGGAUUAUUGGGCCUAAAGCAUCCGUAGCCUGUUCUAUAAGUUUCCGGUUAAAUCCACUAGCUCAACUAGUGGGCUGCCGAAAAUACUGUAGAACUAGGGAGUGGGAGAGGUAGACGGUAUUCGGUAGGAAGGGGUAAAAUCCUUUGAUCUAUUGAGGACCACCUGUGGCGAAGGCGGUCUACCAGAACACGUUCGACGGUGAGGGAUGAAAGCUGGGGGAGCAAACCGGAUUAGAAACCCGAGUAGUCC